rnacentral:sRNA from 1 species
AGGUGUUGGAUGCCCUGGAACUGGAGGUACAGACAGAGGCAUAGAUGUCAAUGCUUGGCUCGAUUUACCCUAAAUCACACAACUAAUGAGCAUCAGAGGGGAAACUGGUACUCAAGAGAAUCUGACCACAAAGCUAUUAACACUUGCCACAUUGCCAGCUCUCCAGGAGGCAGAGGUGACUCCCCAGCUCACACGGAAAAGCUCCUGCAACCAUUCUGCUGCCCAUGUUAACCACACCCUCACCACCAGCUGGCACUGCCAUCACCACCUAUCGGCCAAACAUCAGUUCUUCUGAUUGCACGUCAUCAGGGUCACCUGAUACAUUACAAUGCAUCCAGGAACAACCAAAAUACAAUCCACCUGUCUGUCAUCGAUCACCACCUGCCUGGAGCUGCCAUGCUGGGGUGAAGUGACAACAGGCCAGUCACUUUUGUGUCCCUCAAGAAGCCAGUCUUUGUGCCUGCUACAUGGUGGGAUAUUCGAACUCAUUCACUGCAGUGAAAAUAUCUUGCUUUAGUUUCGAGACUGCUUGCAACUACACAAUAAAUACUUAUCUGUUUUUCUUCUC